CCCGGGUGCUGGAUGUCCCGGGCUAAGCACAAAGAUGGCAAUGUUGGCAAAUCCGCAUUGUAUUAACAUUGAAGUGUGAAAAUAGGGGAGUGAACGGUUCGCCUAGUAACGAAGUAUAUGACUCCAUGCUUCCAAGAAAAGCUUCUAACUUAAUAAUUAACUGCCUGUACCUAGAACGAACACACGUGGUCAAGGAGAAAAUCCUAAGGCAAGCGAGAUAACUGUAGCUAAGGAACUCUGCAAAAUAACUCCGUAACUUCGGAAGAAGGAGUGCUUAUCUAUGAUAAGCCGCAGUGAAGAGGGAGGGGCAACUGUUUAACAAAAACACAGCUCUCUGCUAAGUCGCAAGACGAUGUAUAGGGGGUGACACCUGCCCAGUGCCGGAAGGUUAAAAGGAGAAGUCAGCGCAAGCGAAGCUUUGAAUUGAAGCCCCGGUGAACGGCGGCCGUAACUAUAACGGUCCUAAGGUAGCGAAAUUCCUUGUCAGGUAAAUUCUGACCCGCACGAAAGGUGUAAUGAUCCCUUCGCUGUCUCGGCUGCAGACUCGGUGAAAUUUUAGUACCGGUGAAGAUGCCGGUUACCCGCAACUAGACGGAAAGACCCCGUGGAGCUUUACUAUAACUUGAUAUUGAAAUUUGGUAUGACGUGUAGAGGAUAGGUGGGAGACUAUGAGACUAGGACGCUAGUUCUAGUGGAGUCAACCUUGGAAUACCACCCUCGUUAUAUUGGAUUUCUAACUUGGAUCCAUUAUCUGGAUUAAGGACAGUGUCUGGUGGGUAGUUUGACUGGGGCGGUCGCCUCCCAAAAAGUAACGGAGGCGCUCAAAGGUAUCCUCAGUAUGGUUGGAAAUCAUACAUAGAGCGCAAAG
rnacentral:rRNA from 1 species